ACGUGGGUAACCUACCCAUAAGAGGGGGGAUAACAUCCGGAAACGGGUGCUAAUACCGCAUAGUUUUCUUGAUCGCAUGGAGUCGGGAAAGGAAAGACGGCCUUUGUGCUGUCGCUUAUGGAUGGACCCGCGGCGUAUUAGUUAGUUGGUGAGGUAACGGCUCACCAAGACGAUGAUACGUAGCCGACCUGAGAGGGUGAUCGGCCACAUUGGGACUGAGACACGGCCCAAACUCCUACGGGAGGCGAGCAGUAGGGAAUCUUCCGCAAUGGACGAAAGUCUGACGGAGCAACGCCGCGUGAGUGAAGAAAGGUUUUCGGAUCGUAAAACUCUGUUGUCAGAGAAGAACAAGUUGGAGAGUAACUGCUCCAGCCUUGACGGUAUCUGACCAGAAAGCCACGGCUAACUACGUGCCAGCCGCCGC
rnacentral:rRNA from 1 species